UACAGAGGGUGCGAGCGUUGUUCGGAAUUAUUGGGCGUAAAGCGCUUGUAGGCGGCUUGUUAAGUUCCGUGUGAAAUCCCCAGGCUUAACCUGGGAAGUGCGCGGAAAACUGGCGAGCUUGAGUGCCGGAGAGGGUCGCGGAAUUCCCGGUGUAGAGGUGAAAUUCGUAGAUAUCGGGAGGAACACCAGUGGCGAAGGCGGCGACCUGGACGGACACUGACGC
rnacentral:rRNA from 1 species